rnacentral:rRNA from 1 species
UACGAGGGGAGCAAGCGUUGUUCGGAUUUACUGGGCGUAAAGGGCGCGUAGGCGGCGUGACAAGUCACUUGUGAAAUCUCCGGGCUUAACCCGGAAAGGUCAAGUGAAACUGUCGUGCUAGAGUACAGAAGGGGCAACUGGAAUUCUCGGUGUAGCGGUGAAAUGCGUAGAUAUCGAGAGGAACACCUGCGGCGAAGGCGGGUUGCUGGGCUGAUACUGACGCUGAUGCGCGAAAGCCAGGGGAGCGAACGGG